rnacentral:rRNA from 1 species
CCUACGGGGGGCAGCAGUGGGGGAUAUUGCACAAUGGGGGGAACCCUGAUGCAGCGACGCCGCGUGGGUGAAGGAGUGCUUCGGCAUGUAAAGCCCUAUCGGCAGGGAAGAAGCAAGACGGUACCUGACUAAGAAGCCCCGGCUAACUACGUGCCAGCAGCCGCGGUAAUACGUAGGGGGCGAGCGUUAUCCGGAUUCACUGGGUGUAAAGGGAGCGUAGACGGCCAAGCAAGCCAGGGGUGAAAGCCCGGGGCCCAACCCCGGGACUGCCCUUGGAACUGCAUGGCUGGAGUGCGGGAGGGGCAGGCGGAAUUCCUGGUGUAGCGGUGAAAUGCGUAGAUAUCAGGAGGAAUACCGGUGGCGAAGGCGGCCCCCUGGACGAAGACUGACGCUCAGGUGCGAAAGCGUGGGGAGCAAACAGGAUUAGAUACCCGAGUAGUC